AGAGUGCAGAUAAUAUGCCAGCUCGAUCGGAUAAUAUUUUACAGUAACCCAAUUCAAGCUCUCAGACACUAAUACUACUACAAAAGCAGAGACCAAUCGCGAA